UACGUAGGGGGCUAGCGUUGUCCGGAAUCAUUGGGCGUAAAGCGCGCGUAGGCGGCCCGGUAAGUCCGCUGUAAAAGUCAAAGGCUCAACCUUUGAAUGUCAGUGGAUACUGCCGGGCUAGAGUCCGGAAGAGGCGAGUGGAACUCCUGGUGUAGCGGUGAAAUGCGUAGAGAUCAGGAAGAACACCCGUGGCGCAAGCGGCCACCUGGCUGCCAACUGACGCUGAGGCACGAGAGCGUGGGGAGCGAACCGG
rnacentral:rRNA from 1 species